UUUACAUUUUUGCUUUCUCUGACCUGAUCCGAGUGGGAUUUCAGUGUUACUGGUUGCCCACAGGCAUUGCUUGCUGAAGGUUAAGGUGAACUGCUACCCUGUGGCCACCUAACGCCUGUCAGGCUCCUGGAAUGUUCUCCAGAGUAUUCAAAGGACAGCGAUAGCCAUGCCUGUCCCAUUUCGGCUGUAAGACCAAGGAGUUUGGCAGACCUAAACAUUGUCCCGGAGAAAAAAUCCCCGCACUCCUCUGCUCUGCCAACUGAACCAUGGAGGCUACCGACUGAAAUAGCAUCACGAGUGGCUGACGUUGAGCGGACCAGGGCUGGGGAGAAACGUGACCCCAGGCCAAGGCUGCAUCUCUGCGAAGCGAUGAGCUGACACCAGCUGGGACGCCUGAGCUGGAUCUGUGCUGCCAAACACAAAUCACUUCUCCGCUG
rnacentral:lncRNA from 1 species